rnacentral:rRNA from 1 species
AUACGGAGGGUGCGAGCGUUAAUCGGAAUUACUGGGCGUAAAGCGUGCGUAGGCGGUUUGCUAAGUCAGAUGUGAAAGCCCCGGGCUUAACCUGGGAACUGCAUUUGAUACUGGCAGACUAGAGUAUGAUAGAGGGGGGUAGAAUUCCUGGUGUAGCGGUGAAGUGCGUAGAUAUCAGGAGGAAUACCAGUGGCGAAGGCGGCCCCCUGGAUCAAUACUGACGCUGAGGUACGAAAGCGUGGGGAGCGAACAGGAUUAGAAACCCUAGUAGUCC